rnacentral:misc_RNA from 1 species
AGCCAGGAUCAUUUGUCCGCAUUGAUCGAGAUCUCCAAAAAAUUGAAACUUCAACCGAAAGACGACAUAGAGUCGAUCAAGAACUCUUGGCUGAUGAAACCUCUUCGGAGGGCCUCGAGCAGUGACUUGCUAGAAGAAAUAACCGAAUAUGCAAUGCGAAGACGAGGCUCUCGGGACGUGAUUUCGGAUGGAUCCGAGGUGAUCCCCGCAGCUGUAAUGCGGAAGAAGUUCUCGUGCACUCGAGGGUCUCUUGCUGACGUCACGGAAUGUGUGGAAAGUGAGAAAAACACUACAAAUGAUCCGACCUUUGAAAUGUCACUAGAGCAGAAAUUGCAGUAUGUACUCAAAACCCUAAAUGAUAUUAGACAAGAGGACCAAAUAAUCGCCAAGAAAUUUCUCCACAUCUACGCAGAAAUCAAGAAGUCCAAAGUGAGGCAGUCAUGUAUGAUACACCAGGACAUGUUAGACGAAGUCUUCAUACGUGAGCACGAUAAUGUCAAGGUGCCACACAUGUGUGACGCUCCGGUCAACAAGAGAAGUAGUCAGGCUCUGAAGCAGUGCGGAGUCACGCGGAUGAAUAUCAAGUCCAAGCGAUUUUCAUGUUCCUAAGCGACAGGAAAUUACGUAUAUUACUCCCCCCCCCCCCCCCCCCAAAAAAAAAAACCCCAAAACAAAACUGCCCGCUGCAAAGAAUGGCAUGGUUGAAUCUCAGACACUCGACCUUGUAGGUACAGAUCGCAGAUUAUCGUCCAUUUUCAGCAAAGCUUGGAAAUACACCCCGGCUGUAAUAUACGGAUAUUAAAAUGCAAAAUGGAGUCGCUCUCCAUCAAUUAGAAGUUAGACAGCCAUGACUGUGUCGUCUGUAUACCCAUCCUAAGUUAUAUUAUUGAAUUUGAAAACGUUUAAAUAAAAUCUCAACAGAGUACAGGCUGUCCCAGAAUAUAUAUUUGAUUCCAUUUAAAAUUCGUAUAAAUUAUAUUUUUAUUAUAUUUGGCCGAAAUCAAUUGUGACUCAAAUAAAAAGUAAAAUAGUUUAAUUUUUUUUUCCACAAAAAUGUUGGGGAGAAAAACUUUGUUCUUUGUAUAAUAAUGAAACAAAAUUGCCACAUAAAUCUGUGGUUGAAAUGAAUUUAAUCGAGGUGAAUUGGACAAGACAGUAGGCAUUUCCGUUGUCAAACUGUAUUAUUCAACACAGACGAAAUAUUUGUACGAAUUAUGAAAAAAGAAUAUUUUAGGGGAAAACUUCCCAACAUACGGCAUAUUUUUAAAUUCUGUGGAAUCAUUAGAUUAGGUUACCUCUCAAUCACGAAUUAACAUCCUCCAAGAAUUAAUAAAUUAGGGUUAUAAAGUCAUAUUUCGUUUGGAGGGUAUAAGGAAAUACACGAAAUAACAUUCCCACAAACCUAUAAAAUUUCAGCAAUCCACGAAAAUUGGCCCCCACGAAUUUUAAUGAUUCCACAGUAUAGUGAGAACUUUGAAGAAAAGGAUCCGUGCAGUGGCUGUUGAGUAGAAUUUUACUCAUCGUCGUAUUGUUGUUAUUCAUUAAAAAAAAGGUGUCAUUUGGAGCACUCUC